UGCUAUUGUUGACACUAAGAACGAUGCGUCGUGUGAGUGGUGAUAUAGCUCAAAUUGUCUUAAGCUUACUCCCUCAAAUAGGAGAUCGUCGUUAGCACUUAAGGGUCAAAUUCCACUGAGCUCUCGAUGUUCACACAAUAAACUUGUGAUGAUUUUAAUUAAGCUAGACAAAGUAUAUUAAUGUAAAGACAAUAAAGCAAGUAAAUGAGUUGUAGAUUCAAGUGAUUAAAGAGUCGGGUCUAAGGAAUUAUCUAGGGAGAUAGAUAAAUUGUAGAUCUAGCUAAUAUUAGGAUUGUUAUCGCAACGUUCUCGAACUCAAACUAUGAUUUUAGAGUAACCGUUGGUGUUCCAUGAAACUCUCUAUACUUAGAGCUAACAUAACCGGAGAAGCCGAGAAAUGCUAUACUAAAGCAUGCAUUAUUAUCAAGUUUGAUAAGUUCACCUAGUAUCUAAACCAGAGCCCUUCUAUGAGCCUACAUGUUCUUUCUUAAAUGCCUAGGCUCGUCUAUGAUAGUUCAUAUAAUAAGUACCUAUGGUGGUAUACCUAUUAUCUAA
rnacentral:sRNA from 1 species